GUAAUUGUCAUAGGUGGCGCCAUCUAUCCCAAUGGAUGGGGAACUAGGGAAGUACGUGAGGUGUGUGGAGGAAUAUCUGAUUCUUACUAUCUAGGGACUUGUCAGCUGUCGUGGUCUUUCUAUUUGAUGGGUGCUGGUGUCGUCAUGCUGUUUCUUUGUUCUUUCCUAUCUCUCUGGGCUUCGAGGAUCAAACCACAUUCGUACCGGAUAUGACCUAUAGGAAGGAGCUUUGCAAGUGUUUAAAUUCUUAGGAACAAUACUUCUAUUACCGGUUAGAGAAGGAAUAGUGGGGUAGAGAGUAGAUAAAUGUGAUUGACUUUAAUAUGGUAGUUUAUUGUAAAAAAGAAGAAGAAAAAAAAAAGGUCUUAGCAAUUUCAUCGCUAAUAAACAACAACAACAAAUGUUGGAGUUCAGGCAAGUGUUUUCGCCACCUCGCGAUUUUCACGACUAAACUCCUUAGUUUGAGAAAUAAACUAUGAACCCGUAGCGUUUUUAGAUAACAAGGUUUAGGAUAAUACUGAAUUUGUUUGCAUAUUUGAAGUUAGACGAAAUAUGAAAAAAUAAAUCAAACAAACUGUACUUGAAAGUAAAGGUUAAUUAAUAAAAGACAGUUUCAA